GACUUAUAACUGUCCAUUUGACAAUACAAACUGUAGCCAAGUCUGUAGAGACAGCAUUCCUGGCUUGAAUUGCCAGGAGAUUCUUUCCAAUUGAUAACUUGCGACAGCUCAAUUAUUUGCCACUGUUGCAGCGCACAAUAAGAAAACUACAGGGAACAAUGAACAAAGAACACUUGUCUUACGACUGAGAUCACCAUGUCUGGGAUACCGGCCAGCUAAUGGGUCUAUGAUUACGUCUGUACAUGAAACGUGGAGGCGUACAUAAAGACUUGGCAUCAGACCCACUUACAGAAGACAUCUGAACAUGAAAGCUUCACAUGUAAUAGGCCAACAAAAGCUCUCAUGUGUCAUUGCACACAGUUGUACCUGGUGAAUUGAGAGCACCAGCAUUGUGAGCAGAAUUUAUUUGUAUACUAAGCUAUUUGUAUACUAAGAGUUAGUCGCCAAAUAUCUAAAUAAGUACCAUAUGAAUAAAACAAUCAAAUAAGACCA